rnacentral:rRNA from 1 species
UACGUAGGUGGCAAGCGUUGUCCGGAAUUAUUGGGCGUAAAGGAUGCGUAGGUGGUCUUUUAAGUGGGAUGUGAAAUCCCUGGGCUUAACCCAGGAACUGCAUUCCAAACUGGGAGACUAGAGUGCGGGAGAGGAAAGUGGAAUUCCUAGUGUAGCGGUGAAAUGCGUAGAGAUUAGGAGGAACACCAGUUGCGAAGGCGACUUUCUGGAACGUAACUGACGCUGAUGCAUGAAAGCGUGGGGAGCAAAC